rnacentral:rRNA from 1 species
UUGACCUCGGAUCAGGUAGGAAUACCCGCUGAACUUAAGCAUAUCAUAAGGGCGGAGGAAUCGGGGUUAUAAUGG